GUUGAUAGAUCAUUCAUGGAUCUUAGCCCAUCGAUUCUGUGUUGGAACAUGAGAGGGUUAAAUAACCCAGCAAAGAGAGAUGCGUUGAGGGCCUUUGUUGCGACAAUGCGAGUUAAUGUAGCUUGCCUCCAAGAGACUAAAAUGGAUGUCAUUGAUUGUUACACCGUGUUGCAAUGCCUUGGGCCGUCCUUCAACGGUUUUGCUUUCUUGCCAGCCACGGAGACCAGAGGAGGAAUUCUCAUUGCUUGGGAUUCGACCAACAUUGAUAUCGAUCAAAUUCACUUGAAUACUGAUUUCAUCUCAGGACAAGUUCACACCAAACAGGGGCGAUAUGGUGGAUCUCGGUGGUUUAUGGCCCGCAAGGCAAUACCCUGA
rnacentral:rRNA from 1 species